rnacentral:tRNA from 1 species
AAGCACUUAGUUAACUGAUAAUAGUAGUUUGUCAAGCUACAGUAACGAAAAAUCUCGUAGUACUUC